GGGUUGUGCUGGGGCUGCUGCAAUGGGGCUGCAGAGCACCUUCAGCAUCAACCCAGGUAGGAAUGCAUUCCAGCAAUGCAUGGGGGCUGGGCUGGGGCUGUGCUGCAUUGCUGGGGCUGUGCUGGGGCUGCUGCAAUGGGGCUGCAGAGCACCUUCAGCAUCAACCCAGGUCAGCAGCUCAAAUCCUGGAGGAAUCUGAGAAAAACGUGGGGAAGUGCUGGGAAAAAACAGGGAAAUAAUGGGCAAAUUCAAGGAGAAAUCCUGGGAAAAACAGAGGGAAAUUCACAGGGAAAUAAUGGGGAAAUUCAUAGGGAAAUUCACGGGGAAAUACUGAGAAAAACACAGGGAAAUCUUGGGGAAAACCCUGAGGAAAUCCUGGAGAAAUCACUGAGAAAUCCUGGAAAAAUCACAGAGAAAUUCUGGGAAAACCACAAGGAAAUUCUGGGAAAAUUCACAGGGAAAUCGUGGGGAAAUUUACAGGGAAAUCGUGGGAAAAUUCACAGGGAAAUACUGAGAAAAACACAGGGAAAUCCUGGGGAAAUCAUGGGAAAAUUCACAGGGAAAUUCACAGGGAAGUCUUGGGGAAAACCCUGAGGAAAUCCUGGAGAAAUCACAGAGAAAU
rnacentral:lncRNA from 1 species